rnacentral:lncRNA from 1 species
AAGUGUUUUCAAUAUGAGACACUUUGUGAUAUCAACCCACUUUCUUUUGGAGUCUUUUACUCUUUUACCCUCUAAUCAUAUUCUUUACUCUAAUAUUCUUCAUCCUCUCUUCUCACAUUCAUUUCUUUUGUUUCUCUCUCCCCGUAUCCUCUCAUUCUUUAUCCCUCUCUUCCCUUUUCUCUUUCUUUCCAAAUUCUAAUCCAUCAAUUUAAUUUCAGAUUCGCUUUUCUUUUUUUAACUGUGUUUUUUACAUCCAAGAAUGGAAAAAAAGAAAAUUCUCCACUUCCUCUAAAUUUGGUCUUUCUGAUUGUGGAACUUGUGGUCGUGUGUGUGUUUAUCUACUAGUCUUUCAUCGAUUUGAUCUUUGAAAUCAGACGUGGAUAGAGGCCCUAAUCCCAUAUGUCUCCCUUCUCAUGAGCAAUCCAUCUCCAGAUUCAUAUAACUAUAUUUCUCUAUCUCUUAAUUUUCGAUAUAAUUCUUUUGGAACCUUAAUUCAUUGUUUUCUUUUCUAAACUAGAGUUUGGUAGAAUGAGUAAUGUGAAAUUUUGUGGUUUUUGGGUGUUUUGCUGUUGUAGUUUCAAUUCAAAUUCAAUCUUUUUGGGUCCAAAUGUGUCUAACUAAAUGAAUCAGUCCAUUUGUGAACGAAACAAUCAAGUAAUGCUCGUUGAUUUGAUGAAGAGUCAAAAAGUGAAUUUGGUGAGAUUAGAUCAGUUAUUUAGAACUUUCUUGUGUCCAUUUAGCAGCGAACACAUGUACGAAGCAAAGUCGUCCAUCUCAACUGGAACAUCUACGUGAAUUGUUGAGAGUCACGACUUUUAAAAGUUGAAGUUUCAUGGUCGGAUUGAUUGGCUUGCAGGUUUUGAAUCAAGAUUGUUGACGAAGAUUUUGUGUCCAUUUAGUAGCGAACAAGGAGUUAAAGUAAGUCGAUUUGCAAUGGAUGCGAUACCGUGGUUGAGAUGCGGUGGCUACGAUGCGGUGACUAUGACGCGGUGGUUACGAUGCAACUUCAAACACAAUAGUUGCAAACAGAGACUUUGUGUUGACGAUUAUCUUUCAUAUAUAAAGUUGUGAAUUGAUAUAAAAAUCAUGUGUAUGAUUAUAAAAGGAUGAAAAAAAUUAUGUGUGAUAAUAUAGGAUUUAGGGUUUAGGUUUUAGUAUGCUGAAGUUUCACUUACCCUUAGAGAAAAUCAAUCAAAUAGUAAAAUGGUCAAAUGGUCGUGGACAUUGUAUAUAAAAACUUGAGAUAUAUUAAUGUUAACCAUGUGUUCAAUGUUGAAUGGUUAGAUAAACAAAAAAAUAUGUCUAAUAAUAAAAUAUGAACAAUAGACAUUUGAUCAGAGUUUAACGGAUGUAUAGUUUAUCGAGAAACUUUAGUCUUAUUCAUCUAUGUGAUCAGAGUUUAGCUGAUAUGUUUGGAUGAUCGGUAGUUAUAAAUGUUGGUGUAAUAUGUUUGUUCAAAUAUCUAUAGAUAUUGUCUGUUUGGAUGAGUUUGUAUGUGUGUCUGUUUACAAAAACAGAAUUCAUAUGUUCAAAUGUUCGAAGGCGUUUUAUAUUAUGCUUGAGAUAAAUUAAUGUUAACCAUGUGUUCAGUGUUGG